rnacentral:rRNA from 1 species
CCUACGGGUGGCUGCAGUGAGGAAUAUUGGUCAAUGGGCGGGAGUCUGAACCAGCCAAGUAGCGUGAGGGAUGAAUGCCCUAUGGGUCGUAAACUUCUUUUGUACGGGAAUAACACGAUGCACUUGUGCCUUUCUGCAGGUACUUUGUGAAUAAGGAUCGGCUAACUCCGUGCCAGCAGCCGCGGUAAUACGGAGGGUCCGAGCGUUAUCCGGAUUUAUUGGGUUUAAAGGGAGCGUAGGUGGGUCGUUAAGUCCGUCGUGAAAGUUUGCGGCUCAACCGGCAAAUUGCAAUUGAUACUGGAAGUCUUGAGUACAGAUGAGGCAGGCGGAAUUCGUGGUGUAGCGGUGAAAUGCAUAGAUAUCACGAAGAACCCCGAUUGCGAAGGCAGCCUACCAAAGUGCGACUGACACUGAGGCUCGAAGGUGCGGGUAUCAAACAGGAUUAGAUACCCUGGUAGUC